GUACGCGUGGUAAUGAGGUCUGGACGCUGGAGGAGGAGAGCUCUUCACACGCACGACAGGAGUUUAUAGUUCACCAGCACUUCCAUCUACAUUGGUCUGCCUUACUAUGCCUCGACACUGGGAGGGACAACUACAUCAUCUUCUUGGCGGAGGUCACUGAGCUUCCUGUUGCCCGUCAUGGAGGAUUGGGACCACCAUUGAACCCUUAGCUUCUCAUUGGUGGUGGGCGGCAGUGCAUGUGUCGCCACGGUGGUCACCCAGGAAGAUUCUGCCUGGAGCCAGCAACCAAGGAAGGGAGGAAGGAAUUGCCAAGUAGGGAAGCAAGGAAGGACAAAUAUGCAUUACUAAGUUUCCCCAGGUACCCAUUCAUUGACCAGCCUGAUAGGGAGGAUGAGCAGCUAUCUGGGUUGCACACCGACUUCCUGUUCUGAGAUAUGAACCCAGGCCUGCGUAUUCACAGCAAGGCGUGAUAACCACUUCACCAUGGAGGUGCUUGGUAGUAAUGGUACAUUGUGUGUGUCGGUCAGGCAGCCCAUCCUCAUGCCUGGCCCUCAAAACUUCAACCAUUAAGGUAGAAGCUGCUGCACUCUUCCUGUCUCCUGUCAGCACACUGUUGGCCAUGCACACGUUGGUCAGCCCUCCCCACCAGGCAGCCCUCCAUCCAUUACUUGAGAGGGUCGUGUGCCAGUCAAACCAGCCCGUUGUGAUGUCUGGCCCUUAGAACCCCAUCAUCAAAGUAGAAGCGUGGCACUCCUCAUGCCUCUCCUGUCAACAUGCUGUUCAUGCAUCAUCUCUCUUCCCAUAGCUCUCCUGACCUCGAGGAAUGGAACGGACAGCUCCUGCAGACUGACUGGCGGGUGCCUGCAUCCCCCUGCUGUAUCUAAAAGGUUUAGUCUCUUUCCAUGGCCACAACUCCUGAUGUAGACCACAGUUCACCCCACAACUGGAAGAAGCAACAACACUAAAAUAAGACAAGUUUCUGCUCCAUCAUCAUUCACUCUUCUGAAAGGAACAUAAAUGAUGAUCAUUCUAGAAAAAAUGGAGCUCAACUGUUGUAUUAGUGAUUAUUACGGGGUUUUCUGUAAAGCAUUCUGUAAUAAUGUUGUAAGGCUAUUCAAUAAAUAUAUACUGAUGU